rnacentral:lncRNA from 1 species
GUCGGGGUAGCGUCAUCGCUGGACCGCCCCUGACUGACCAUCGCGGCAGCAUACACAACUUGCAGCUGGACAUAAUGGACGGGAUUGUGCAGCAGCGGAAGACGCGCAGCGGCAGUGGAGUCUGGACAGCGCCGGUGCUCCAGGAGGCCGACAGCAAUGUGCCCGUGCAGACAUAAGCGGACAAAGGACAACGGACAAAGGACAGCGGACAGUGGACAGUGGACACGCACGGACACGGACACGGACGCUAGUAUGGAUUCGAUUGGAUUGGAUGGUGGUAGGGCUGGUCGGUCGGACACUGAGCAAUAUAAACACACACAUGGACAAACACAAACAAACAAAAACAAAUACAAAUAUACGAAUGAACAAUCUGGGACUGUGCUACUCGAACUGGACCUUUAUUAACAUUUCUGGUAUUCCUGCCUCACACACACUUUCUCUCUCUCUCUCUCUGUCUCUGUCUCUCUCUUUCUGUUCUGCUCGGUCUGCUUCUUGCUCUGGGAAAUUGGUUUUCGCGGCUGGCGCAUCAUGCGAGGAGCAAACAAACCGCGAAAACCGCUCAAAUCCAGCAAGGAAACCCAGUUGAAAAAAGCCAAAAAUUCCAAUGUGAAAAACUACACUUAAAAGGAACAGAAAGAGACAGAGAGAGAGAGGGCGAGAGGGAUGGAGAGCAGUUUAAAACGGACAAAACGCAAACAAAAAAUGACAAAAAAAAAAAAAAAACAGUUAAGGAAAGAAGAAAAACGCCCCGCCCCAUUGGCCGCAAUUGAUUGGCAGCAACUUUCGGCCAACACCUGUGCAGUGUGCCACGUCUAAGCAUCCUCGGUCACCCCUGAAUAACAGCGGACUCAGCUUAACAAAUUGUCCAACCAAAGAAUACAACAAACCAAAAAUAAACACGAAAACGAAAACCAUCCGCGAUGCAAAAGCUAUUUAUGGACUGACGUGAAUUGGCUAUCAAGGUGAGUUUUGAGGAAAAAGAAGAGCUUGUGCUUGCUGCCUGUUUAUUUCCUUUUUAAGCGUAUUUAAUUUGAUUUCUUUUUUGGUUUGCACAUUUCAUGCAAUGUCCACGCCAGUGCUGCUGGUGUGAGCUGCGCUGCACGUAAGAAAACACUCACGCACAUGCAUAAUGAAAUGCAGCCUUGCCACAAGGACAUGCCACAUGAACAUGCGAAAUGGGGGCCAAGGACGAGGGCGAGGCUAUCUCGCAGCUAGCAUGAACCUAACUGCUUUGCUCAACAUCCCAGCAGCCAUUACUUUAAGCUUUUGUUUUUGUACUUUCCGGCUGCUGCCACGUGGCGUAUGAUUAAUUUUCUGCAGGAACAGCUGUAUCAAUGGCACUGACCAUGCCAGCAAAG